rnacentral:misc_RNA from 1 species
AAGUCGUAACAAGGUCUCCGUUGGUGAACCAGCGGAGGGAUCAUUAAAGAGUUGCAAAACUCCCUACAACCAUUGCGAACGUUACCGAACACGUCGUUGCCUCGGCGGGCCCCGCGCCCGCCGGGGGGACGCCCACACAGGCUCUUUGCAGUUACCGGCCUCUCUGAGUUUGAUUUUACCAAAUCAGUCAAAACUUUCAACAACGGAUCUCUUGGUUCUG